AGAAUCAACGCUGGCGGCGUGCCUAACACAUGCAAGUCGCACGAGAAAGGGACUUCGGUCCUGAGUACAGUGGCGCACGGGUGAGUAACACGUGAAUAAUCUACCUCCGAGUGGGGAAUAACUGAGAGAAAUCUUAGCUAAUACCGCAUAACACUUACGAGUCAAAGCAGCAAUGCGCUUGGAGAGGAGUUCGCGGCAGAUUAGUUAGUUGGCGGGGUAAUGGCCCACCAAGACGAUGAUCUGUAUCCGGCCUGAGAGGGCGCACGGACACACUGGAACUGAAACACGGUCCAGACUCCUACGGGAGGCAGCAGUGGGGAAUUUUGCGCAAUGGGGGAAACCCUGACGCAGCAACGCCGCGUGGAGGAUGAAAUAUCUUGGUAUGUAAACUCCUUUCGAUGGGGAAGAUAAUGACGGUACCCAUAGAAGAAGCCCCGGCUAACUUCGCGCCAGUAGCCGC
rnacentral:rRNA from 1 species